AGCGAACGCUGGCGGCAUGCCUAACACAUGCAAGUCGAACGAGACCAUCGGGUCUAGUUGCGCACGGGUGCGUAGCGCGGGGGAACCUGCCCGUAGGUUCGGAAUAACACCCCGAAAGGGGUGCUAAUACCGGAUAAUGUAUUCGGACACAAGAUAUAUCGCACUUGGUUGAGCAGGCGUUGGAUUGGCUUGUUGGUAGGGGAAAAGCCUACCACGGGGACGAUCGAUAGCUUGUCUGUGAGGAUGAUCCGCCACACUCGGACUGAGACGCGGCAGGGACUCCUACGCGAUGCGGCAGAGCCUGAUACAGGACUACGGCCUAAGUCCUGAUCCAGUUCUGCCUCUAGAAUGCUGUUGUUCUUAGGGUAGAACAGCUCUUUUACCCGCGACGAUAAUGACAGUACCGAGAGAAUAAGCUCCGGCUAACUUCGUG
rnacentral:rRNA from 1 species